rnacentral:rRNA from 1 species
UACGAAGGGGGCUAGCGUUGCUCGGAAUCACUGGGCGUAAAGCGCACGUAGGCGGGUUCUUAAGUCAGGGGUGAAAUCCUGGAGCUCAACUCCAGAACUGCCUUUGAUACUGGGAAUCUCGAGUCCGGGAGAGGUGAGUGGAACUGCGAGUGUAGAGGUGAAAUUCGUAGAUAUUCGCAAGAACACCAGUGGCGAAGGCGGCUCACUGGCCCAGUACUGACGCUGAGGUGCGAAAGCGUGGGGAGCAAACA